rnacentral:rRNA from 1 species
GAUGAACGCUGGCGGCGCGCCUAAUACAUGCAAGUCGAGCGAACGGACGAGAAGCUUGCUUUUCUGAUGUUAGCGGCGGACGGGUGAGUAACACGUGGAUAACCUACCUAUAAGACUGGGAUAACUUCGGGAAACCGGAGCUAAUACCGGAUAAUAUUUUGAACCGCAUGGUUCAAAAGUGAAAGACGGUCUUGCUGUCACUUAUAGAUGGAUCCGCGCUGCAUUAGCUAGUUGGUAAGGUAACGGCUUACCAAGGCAACGAUGCAUAGCCGACCUGAGAGGGUGAUCGGCCACACUGGAACUGAGACACGGUCCAGACUCCUACGGGAGGCAGCAGUAGGGAAUCUUCCGCAAUGGGCGAAAGCCUGACGGAGCAACGCCGCGUGAGUGAUGAAGGUCUUCGGAUCGUAAAACUCUGUUAUUAGGGAAGAACAUAUGUGUAGGUAACUGUGCACAUCUUGACGGUACCUAAUCAGAAAGCCGCGGCUAACUACGUG